AGUUGGCAUUGAACAUAGUUAUAGACCGCAUGUCGCGAAAUCCGCAUAAUAAUGUCUUAAAAAUGACUGUACCUUCCUAUGUUCUUGCAAGGAUGGAAAGGGAGAGUGCAAAUACUUGAUCGCAGUUUUGUAUCACUUGUUAAACAAAAACAACAUCGGAUAUGUACUAGGUAACCUGCAUUAUGAAACUCUGCUAUUGUAAAAAUUAGUUGGGCGAUUCUUCAACAAUCAAUACAAACUGAACUGAACGAUUCCGUGUUUCAAGAACAAUCUACGGAUUGAAAACAAGGUAACAAUUACCAUCAUGUGGAUGUGACAACGGAUGAGAGCGAAAAUACACGAGUUUACCACAGUAUUUCCUGAGAGCUCCAUCGGAUAUGAAGUAUUUGGAAAAUUCUCGGUUUCAUCUACUGUCGAAAAACAAAUCAGCGAAGGGGUGCAACCUGUAGAUGAAUUUUUGAUGCUGGAAAUUUGUGAUCAACAACUUUCAUCUUCCUCGUUGAGCUCCU